rnacentral:lncRNA from 1 species
AAGGUUAUUUCUUGGCCACAUUGUCAUUUGGAUCUAAAUUGAAGAUCACUGAGUGCAAGGCAUACUUGGAGACUUCUCCAUUGGAAACAUGUAAAGUUCCCACCGAUGUCAACUACGGGAUCAGUGGUGCUCGCCUCUCUUCUUAUCGCCUCCUUCAAAAUAACAUCAAAUUGUACUCUGUGGGGCCUUUCUUCUGCACCUCCCAACCACUCCCUAACGGUUAUUAAUGAAGAGCACCUUCUCUAUGGCGUUCGUUGAAAUGGCUGCAAAGUGAAAAUGAU